rnacentral:tRNA from 1 species
GGAGGAGUGGCUCAGUGGUUAAGAGCACUGCUCUUGCAGAGGACCUGGGUUCGAUUCCUAGCACCUACA